rnacentral:lncRNA from 1 species
UGUUUUUUUCUUUUAGAUUGUGUGCACUCAGUCCAGUUAUCCUUGUGCUCUGCAGGGCUCCUGACUUUCAUGUACUCUGCCAAGUCAUUCAUCUCCUGCUGAUACCCUUGAAAUCACCCUUUAUUUUUCAGAAGAUUAUUCUUAGAUGUUCAGAAAGCUUCUUACUUACUUAAAGCAUGUGGAGUUUGGCAAGGCUGGUCAGUGGAAAGUCUCUCGUGGCCUACAAAUAAAAUUUCCUCAGUAUUUUGUUCCUGGAACUGUAGUCUAGAUUGGUGGUUCUCAACCAGGGGUACGUGUACCCAGAGGUCUUCCAGGGGGUACAUCGACUCAUCUAGAUAUUUGCCUAGUUUUACAACAGGCUACGUUAAAAGCACUAACGAAGUCAGUACAAACUAAAAUUUCAUACAGACAAUGACUUGCUUAUGCUGCUCUAUAUACUAUCCACUGAAAUGUAAGUACAAGAUUUAUAUUCCAAUUGAUUUAUUUUAUAAUUUAUAGGUAAAAGUGAGAAAAUAAGCAAUUUUUCAGUAAUAUUAUGCUGUGACACUUUUUUGUAUUUUUAUGUCUGGUUUUUGUAAACAGGUAGUUUUUAAGUGAGGUGAAACUUGGAGGGGUGCGCAAGACAAAUCAGACUCCUGAAAGGGGUAUAAUAGUCUGGAAAGGUUGAGAGCCGCUAGUCUAGAUCUAACUCAAGCCUUCAGAUGAGUGGAAGGUACCAAUUUCAGUUGAAUUUCUACUAUAAAAUACUAUUAAUUAGGGCUGUUGAUUAAUCACAGUUAACUCACAUGAUUAACUCAAAAAAAUUGUGAUCAAUUGCAGUUUUAAUCACGUUAUUAAACAAUAGAAUGCCAGUUGACUGAGUGUACUUGUAGGCGCUAAAGUUUUUUGCAUUGUUUUGUUUUUGAGUGCAGUUGUGACAAAAAAAUCUAAAUUUCUGAGUUGCACUUUCACGAUAGAUUGCACUACAGUACUUGUAUGAGGUGAAUUGAAAAAUACUGUUUAUCAUUUUUACAGUGCAAAUAUUUGUAGUAAAAAAUAAUAAAGUGAGCAGUGUACACUUUGUAUUCUGUGUU